rnacentral:rRNA from 1 species
CAUGGUUCAAGGAUGAAAGACGGUUUCGGCUGUCACUUACAGAUGGACCCGCGGCGCAUUAGCUAGUUGGUGGGGUAAUGGCUCACCAAGGCGACAAUGCGUAGCCAACCUGAGAGGGUGAUCGGCCACACUGGGACUGAAACACGGCCCAAACUCCUACGGGAGGCACCAGUAGGGAAUCUUCCGCAAUGGACGAAAGUCUGACGGAGCAACGCCGCGUGAGUGAUGAAGGUUUUCGGAUCGUAAAGCUCUGUUGUUAGGGAAGAACAAGUGCGAGAGUAACUGCUCGCACCUUGACGGUACCUAACCAGAAAGCCACGGCUAACUACGUGCCAGCACCCGCGGUAAUACGUAGGUGGCAAGCGUUGUCCGGAAUUAUUGGGCGUAAAGGGCUCGCAGGCGGUUUCUUAAGUCUGAUGUGAAAGCCCCCGGCUCAACCGGGGAGGGUCAUUGGAAACUGGGAAACUUGAGUGCAGAAGAGGAGAGUGGAAUUCCACGUGUAGCGGUGAAAUGCGUAGAGAUGUGGAGGAACACCAGUGGCGAAGGCGACUCUCUGGUCUGUAACUGACGCUGAGGAGCGAAAGCGUGGGGAGCGAACAGGAUUAGAUACCCUGGUAGUCCACGCCGUAAACGAUGAGUGCUAAGUGUUAGGGGGUUUCCGCCCCUUAGUGCUGCAGCUAACGCAUUAAGCACUCCGCCUGGGGAGUACGGUCGCAAGACUGAAACUCAAAGGAAUUGACGGGGGCCCGCACAAGCGGUGGAGCAUGUGGUUUAAUUCGAAGCAACGCGAAGAACCUUACCAGGUCUUGACAUCCUCUGACAACCCUAGAGAUAGGGCUUUCCCUUCGGGGACAGAGUGACAGGUGGUGCAUGGUUGUCGUCAGCUCGUGUCGUGAGAUGUUGGGUUAAGUCCCGCAACGAGCGCAACCCUUGAUCUUAGUUGCCAGCAUUCAGUUGGGCACUCUAAGGUGACUGCCGGUGACAAACCGGAGGAAGGUGGGGAUGACGUCAAAUCAUCAUGCCCCUUAUGACCUGGGCUACACACGUGCUACAAUGGACAGAACAAAGGGCUGCGAGACCGCAAGGUUU